AGUCUAUGGUGUGGGCAGCAUCAUAAUAGGUCCUUGUACCUCUCCCAGGUGUCGUACAUCGACUCGUCAUCAAACUGCACAAAAAAAGAUAUGUAUUUCUAAGUUU
rnacentral:snoRNA from 1 species